rnacentral:rRNA from 1 species
AAUAGAUACCCGGGUAGUCCACCCGUAAACGUUGGGAACUAGUUGUGGGGUCCAUUCCACGGAUUCCGUGACGCAGCUAACGCAUUAAGUUCCCCGCCUGGGGAGUACGGCCGCAAGGCUAAACUCAAAGGGAAUUGACGGGACCGCACAAGCGGCGGAGCAUGCGGAUUAAUUCGAUGCAACGCGAAGAACCUUACCAAGGCUUGACAUAUAGAGGAAACGUCUGGAAACAGUCGCCCCGCAAGGUCUCUAUACAGGUGGUGCAUGGUUGUCGUCAGCUCGUGUCGUGAGAUGUUGGGUUAAGUCCCGCAACGAGCGCAACCCUCGUUCUAUGUUGCCAGCACGUAAUGGUGGGAACUCAUGGGAUACUGCCGGGGUCAACUCGGAGGAAGGUGGGGAUGACGUCAAAUCAUCAUGCCCCUUAUGUCUUGGGCUUCACGCAUGCUACAAUGGCCGGUACAAAGGGCUGCAAUACCGUGAGGUGGAGCGAAUCCCAAAAAGCCGGUCCCAGUUCGGAUUGAGGUCUGCAACUCGACCUCA